CUCUGAGGACAAGGAGGAUCUGCUGCGGCUCUGGACCCUGCUGGUCAUCGUCUCUGGAGAACAGCUCAGCAGAACCACGGCACUCGGUUCCCCCAUCUGAUCCCACAGAGGAGAAAACGUCUCAGUGGAUCCAUGUGGGGUCAGUGUCGGUGCGCUGCCUUGCCUUGGCUUCGUACUCCUCCGCCUGCUUCAGGUCUCUGGGGAAGCCGCUCACCACCAGACCCUUUCCCUGUCGGACCACAGACGCCACGGCGUCACACAGCAGCUCCAGCAGCGUCUCCUAGAGAUUCAACACAAAUAAUUCAUCAUGUUAUGAAUUGAAGCUGCAUUUCAAUAAAAAAGAAUAGCAUUAGUAAAGUUCAUCAUCUCCUGAACCAGUACAAGUCCUGGAAGGAGGGAAGAUCAGCCAUGAUGAUCCUCUCCUGUUCGACCAGUUUGGACAUGUCUUGUUUUGUGGAUGAGCCAAACCACUGUAGCUGCUUUUCCAUUGACCAUAUAAUUGCGCAAUUUGACAUUUUGAAAAUAA